rnacentral:tRNA from 1 species
GUCCCCAUCGUCUAGAGGCCUAGGACAUCGGGUUUUCAACCCGACAACAGGGGUUCGAAACCCCUUGGGGAUGCCA